rfam:Stegodyphus mimosarum contig43380, whole genome shotgun sequence.
GCCUUCGUGGUGUAACGGUAGCACACUCCGCGCGUAUUCGAGAGAUCCAGGUUCGAAUCCCGGCGAGGGCA